rnacentral:tRNA from 3 species
GCCCGAAUGGCGGAAUUGGUAGACGCAAGGGACUUAAAAUCCCUCGGUCGCAAGGCUGUGCCGGUUCGACCCCGGCUUCGGGCACCA